rnacentral:rRNA from 1 species
CCAAUAGCGUAUAUUUAAGUUGUUGCAGUUAAAAAGCUCGUAGUUGGAUUUUGGGUCGGGGGCACCGGUCCGCCGUUCCGGUGUGCACUGGUGGCCCCUUCCUUUCUGCCGGGGACGUGCGUCGCACUUAAUUGGGUGGCGUUCGGAGUCGGCGUUGUUACUUUGAAAAAAUUAGAGUGUUCAAAGCAAGCCAUCGCUCUGAAUACAUUAGCAUGGAAUAACAUGAUAGGACUCCGGUCUUAUUUUGUUGGUUUCCGAGACUGGAGUAAUGAUUAAGAGGGACAGUCGGGGGCAUCCGUAUUUCAUUGUCAGAGGUGAAAUUCUUGGAUUUAUGAAAGACGAACUUCUGCGAAAGCAUUUGCCAAGGAUGUUUUCAUUAA